GUGGCGUCGCCAGACGGGCCGGUCGCAGCGUCAGAGGUGGCGCGCCGCCAGACGGGCCGGUCGCAGCGUCAGAGGUGGCGUCGUCAGACGGGCCGGUCGCAGCGUCAGAGGUGGCGUCGCCAGACGGGCCGGUCGCAGCGUCAGAGGUGGCGUCGUCAGACGGGCCGGUCGCAGCGUCAGAGGUGGCGUCGUCAGACGGGCCGGUCGCAGCGUCAGAGGUGGCGUCGUCAGAGGACAUGCGCCUCAGCUUCUCCUCAGAGGACAGGGCAUCAUUUGCCAGAGAGCUACCAUGGUUUGGAGAAGCUUGGGAUUCUACUUCAUUGGUCUCUAAAUAUUCUUGAGAAAAAACAAAAGGAACA